GUCUAUAUAGAUUAUUUGGUAUAAAUCAUGAUGCUGUUAACUUCAAGAAGGUGGGGUAUUGCCUAUAGUCG
rnacentral:tRNA from 1 species